rnacentral:lncRNA from 12 species
UGAGUGCCUGCCUUUGGCUCAAGGUGUGAUUCUGGGGUCCUGGGAUUGAGUCCUGCAUUGAGCUGUAGGGAGCCUGCUUCUCCCUCUGCCUGUGUCUCUGCCUCUCUCUCAUGAAUAAAUAAAAUAUUUUAAAAAAUAAUAAAAAGUUAGAUAUUGAGUCCUAUCUAGUAUAUGUUGACCAUAUACACACUUAUUUAUGAGAGCAGAGUCAAGGCAUUUCUGAAACUGCUUUCUUUUUUUUUUUUUUUUUUAAAGAUUUAUUUAUUUAUUUAUUUAUUUAUUUAUUUAUUUAUUUAUUUAUUUAUUUAUUUAUUUAUGAUAGAGAGAGAGAGAAAGAGGCAGAGACACAGGAGGAGGGAGAAGCAGGCUCCAUGCCGGGAGCCCGAAGUGGGACUCGAUCCCGGGACUCCAGGAUCGCGCCCUGGGCCAAAGGCAGGCGCCAAACCGCUGAGCCACCCAGGGAUCCCCUGAAACUGCUUUCUAUAUCACUUCCUUUUGCAUAUCUUUUUUCUCUGCAGUAGUUCUGCUAGCUUUUAUUAAGCCAUAGAUACUUUACCCCACUGUGAAUCUAAAUCUUUUGCUUUUGUCACUUCUGCACACACACUGAAUUUUAGAACAGAGGCCUGUAUUCUGGAAUGCCAAGAAGGAAAUAAAGUUUUCUUUUACCUUGGCUUGAACUUUUUUCUUUCCAAUUAGUUUCCAGAGUGUUUGUGUUUCAGGCAUUUUUCUCUUGAUGGCUAAAGUCUGUCUCCCAAAAGCAUGUUUGGAACUGAAAGUGCAUCUGUCUGGAGAGGCUGGUGCCAUCGGUUGCUGUUACUGCCUGGUACUUCCAGCCAACCUCAUGAGCCAGACACCCCAGAUGGUAGUAAAGCUUCCUGACCUGCUACAGGAAAUGAAAGUUCCAUUCACAGAAGCAUCGAAGGAAUUGAAGGCUAGAUCUUUAACCUCCUGCAGAUCUUCCACUUUCAUCAUUUCCCUGUCAUGGAAAUACAGGGCACUUUCCUUCACAGCGCUAAUGCCUUCAGCUCCCUGUGAUCCUCACUGCACAGCUCUGGCUCAGAUGCUGCAAGAGCAGAAAAGCAAUUGGCCAAGAUGCAAGUGUUGCCAGGAAGUGUGUGAAAGGUAGAAUGGGCAUUAGGGCAGGGAACUGGAUGCCUGCUCCAGAGCAUCUCUGUUGCUGUGACCUGGGGCAAAACUACAACAUUGGUCAGAAGAGAGGAGCGUGCAAAAAACAAAAAACAAAAAAACAAAAACAGAAACAAAACAAAACAAAAAAACAAAAAACAGUGCAAUUAAAAAAAAAAGAGGUGGCUAACUGGACAGUCAGUGUGGGACAUGUUCAGCAAAGCUCCUGAUAAACUGAGGUCUUUCUACCUGAAGGCAGUUGGGGAGCAGGUAAAUGCUUUGCUAAUCUGGUUAGACACAGCUCUCGAGAGACCUAGAGGGCAAAUGCAGAUGGUGAGGCUGUCAUUUAACAAAGUCAGAGUUUUGAGAAAUGAAAUGUUGUUCCCAUCACACAGUUAGAACUCUUCUUUCAUUGUAAAUUAAAUGAGCUCAUGGCUUCCAAAAAUAAACCAUAAAUAAUUUGUGGAUCA